AAAAAAAGAAAGUAAUUAUACUCAUAAAUCAGGGCUUAAUAAUAACAAUUAUACAAUUCAAUGGCUCGAUCAACGACUUACAUGCAAUGCAUCGAAUUUUUAAUAGAAAAAUAAAGACCCAAGUACAAAAUACCUUAAAUAGAAUAAUGAAGCAUAUGAAAACUGUAAAAUAUUAAGAGCGGAAGAGAGAGGUAAAAAUUAAACGGAAAGAGGAUCACGUUUGUAAAUUUAAGUCCACUUUCCUCACUAGAUUCACCACUCUUCUUGUUGUGCUUCCUCGCAUACCUCUGAUUCAUCUGUUUAGAAUUCCACAAAUAAAAUAAGGAAAAUUUAUGAUAAAUCCACAGAUAUACAGGAAAUUGGCCGAAUGAAAACGAAUCCCUUUGGUGGAAGUGUAAUAGUGGCGUUUGGAGCUUCUUGAGACUGGUUAUGGAAGGUGUUUUCGCCAUUUUCUUCUCUACAUCGACGUCUGCAACAUAAAUGAAAGGACAAACUGAGAAUGGAGUAAGUAAUGAGGUAUCGGAGGUAGUGUGUACAAAUGGAGAAGAAAAAGACACUUUGCUCGAGGAAAAAAAAAUGGAGGUCGCCCCGUUUGGGCCAUUAAAACACAUUAUUUGUCAAGUUUUCAAACAAUUGCAGGGCCCAUUUCUCAUACAAUUCAGAUUGUACAGCAUGUAUGUCACAGAGGGUAAUUAAUGAGCCUGCACAAAGUUAUGAUUCUGCCCCCCAAACCUUGACAAAGGAGGUAAUUUCACCAUUUGGACCAACAUUCCACUUGAAAAAAAGGGCCUCUCUGCAACGGUUGAGUGAUAUAGCAGCGGUGGAGCCCACAUGAGUCAAAUAAAGUGGCUUGAAAAUUUUCAAAAAAACGUAUUUUAAUGAGUUUUAAUGGCGCCCAAACAGAACACAUGUUUUUUUUUUUUUUUGUAGAAAAUCUAAUUAAGAAAUCACUUAGUAGAAACGUAAAUCAACAAUUCACUAACUACAUAUAUUUUCUUCCUCACUAGAUUCACCACUCUUCUUGUUGUGCUUCCUCGCAUACCUCUGAUUCAUCUGUUUAGAAUUCCACAAAUAAAAUAAGGAAAAUUUAUGAUAAAUCCACAGAUAUACAGGAAAUUGGCCGAAUGAAAACAAAUCCCUUUGGUGGAAGUGUAAUAGUGGCGUUUGGAGCUUCUUGAGACUGGUUAUGGAAGGUGUUUUCGCCAUUUUCUUCUCUACAUCGACGUCUGCAACAUAAAUGAAAGGACAAACUGAGAAUGGAGUAAGUAAUGAGGUAUGGGAGGUAGUGUGUACAAAUGGAGAAGAAAAAGACACUUUGCUCGAGGAAAAAAAAAAUGGAGGUCGCCCCGUUUGGCCCAUUAAAACACAUUAUUUGUCAAGUUUUCAAACAAUUGCAGGGCCCAUUUCUCAUACAAUUCAGAUUGUA
rnacentral:lncRNA from 1 species